rnacentral:misc_RNA from 1 species
AAUAAUUUGAAAUUUGCUCUUUUUCGAGCUUAUUCUUAUUUACUGUGAACUGUAUUAUUACGUGAUGUUUGAGGGAUGCUUGAGGACUAUAUGGAUAGGUCCGCAGGAUGUUAACCGAGUCAUGAUCGUGCUUAGGCACGGUAUCCUAUUAUUAUUUACCAAAAGAAUUCAGUAUAAAAUAUUGUAACAUAGACGUAAAAAAUCUAUAAAAA